rnacentral:rRNA from 1 species
AAUGAACGCCGGCGGCGUGCUUAACACAUGCAAGUCGAACGAGAAAACUCUUUCGGGAGUUAGUAAAGUGGCGGACGAGUUAAUAACACGUGAGAAUCUACCCCUCAGUGAAGAAUACCCUCGAGAAAUCGAGGCUAAUGCUGCAUACGUCUCUACAGAGAGAUCUGUUUAGAGAAAGGUGGCCUCUUUGCUGCCGCUGAGGGAUGAGCUUGCGCACUAUUAGUUAGUUGGUGGGGUAAAGGCCUACCAAGACUAUGAUGGUUAGCCGGCCUGAGAGGGUGUACGGCAACGCUGGAACUUAGACACGGUCCAGACUCCUACGGGGGGCAGCAGUGAGGAAUAUUGCGCAAUGGGCGAAAGCCUGACGGAGCAACGCCGCGUGAGUGAUGAAGGUCUUCGGAUCGUAAAACUCUGUUGUUAGGGAAGAACAAAUUUGUUAGUAACUGAACAAGUCUUGACGGUACCUAACCAGAAAGCCACGGCUAACUACGUGCCAGCCGCCGCCGUAA